UUUCAAAUGAUUGAAAGACGAAAACGCCCAACUUGAGAUUGCAGAUAUUAAUGCAAUUGGUUGAUAACAAUGUGUUUUAAGACGUGUAGAUCCGUUUUUGUUAUCAUUUGUUAUGAAUGCGGAUCUUUCGACAAAUUUUCGUAACUAGAUGUAGGAUAUGACCUAUUUAGAAAAUAUGGAUUUCUUCACAAUUCUUCACACACAUAUACACACACCAGCCAAAUGUUUAUACGUCUACAUAUUCGUUGUAUACGUGUAUUAGAACAUAUAUUUGUAGUAUGAUGCUGAAAGGAGCACUCUCAGAAUGAUGGAGGCCUUCCUCAUAAACAAACCGAGACCAGUCAUUAACAACAGCAAGGAACUACACGAAACAGACUGGUUGCUAUAGCAACACCAGUCUGUGCUUGUCAUCUUCCUCCUUCCUCUCCUACUUCCUUCUACCCCCACACAUCUGAGCAAUGAUUUUUCGCAGCUACCGCUUUUGCUAAUUGCCCUGAAGAAUGGGUCUUCACCACGAAACAUCGAAAUACAAGCUGAGCGGGUUUGUUAUUGCAGUAGAAACAGGAUAGAAACAAAAAGGAAGCAGAAACCAAACUUGACAUUGAAGCCGAUCUUGUCUAUAUUAGAUAUGUAAGCUCUUUCACUGGAAUUUUUUUCUUUAAUCAAAAUAUGAUGUUAUCUAUUGAUAAUUCGAAACAAAAUAUUGAUUAAACAUA